GUAAAUAUUGAUGUUUGAAUAAUGCCAAUAUUUGAAUUCUUCCUUUUUGGGAAGUGACAACUAAUGAUGAAGUAACAACUACUCAAACUGGACGUUUCCAUGCGAGUGCAUACCAGUAAUGUCACUGUCCAUGAAAAGAUAGGCAUUAAACAACAAGUAAUAGAUAUACUGACCAUGUUGAAAAUGUUGUCAAACCAAUAAAGAUCCAACAGCUUCAUGGGACCACUUUCCAAAUAGAGCUGUUCAGUGCCUACUUGUUUACCCUACCUCAGAUGAGUUCUUCCAGCUGGGUUGUUCUCUUUGGCGUAUCCCAGAGAUCAUCACUGAAUGUACUGCAUGUUUUUAAGAAAUUCUUUUGUAUUUUGGAACUUGCAGACAGUUGUUUAUUGCAGACUUCAACCUUGAGAAUAUCCUGCCCUGAAAGAAAAAAGAAAAAAGUAUGUGGGUUCCCUGUCCCCUGGUGCCGCCAUGCCCUUGAUUUCAACAGGAGUGCGGUGGUGAGGAAAGGCAGCAGCUUGGUACCACUGUGACAGCUCCCAACGCUGCUGGUGGCAUGAAGCCACACCAGCCCCUUAUUUACUUGCAACUGGAAAAUGGCAUAUAAUGUUGCACUCUAUGAUAUGGACAAUAUGAAAUAAAACCAGCUAUCACCAGUACACUUUUUUCUUUUACUUGUUUUCUGCAGCAUAUUGAAAUGUUUUAUAGAAAUCAAUCCUCUGUCUUUCCAUUAACCUGAAUCUCUAGUGGACCUUAGAAGAAAUAGUCUGUUACCAUGGAGAGGAGGAAAGGAAACUCUUAUUAUAGAAAUAUUGCUUCUAAAACAUUAUUAAAGAAAAUCAGAACCCACAGAUUCUUGAUGUUUCUGAGGAAUAGAA